rnacentral:rRNA from 1 species
AUUGAACGCUGGCGGAAUGCUUUACACAUGCAAGUCGAACGGCAGCACGGGGCAACCUGGUGGCGAGUGGCGAACGGUGAGUAAUACAUCGGAACGUGCCCAAUCGUGGGGGAUAACGUAGCGAAAGUUACGCUAAUACCGCAUACGAUCUACGGAUGAAAGCGGGGGAUCGCAAGACCUCGCGCGAAUGGAGCGGCCGAUGUCAGAUUAGGUAGUUGGUGGGUAAAGGCUCACCAAGCCGACGAUCUGUAGCUGGUCUGAGAGGACGACCCAGCCACACUGGGACUGAGACACGGCCCAGACUCCUACGGGAGGCAGCAGUGGGGAAUUUUGGACAAUGGGCGCAAGCCUGAUCCAGCCAUUCCGCGUGCCAGGAUGAAGGCCUUC